GGGGAAUUUUCCGCAAUUGGGGAAUUUUCCGCAAUAGGCGCAAGCCUGACGGAGCAAGACCGCGUGCGGGAGGACGGCCUAUUGGUUGUAAACCGCUUUUGAUAGGGAAGAAGUUCUGACGGUACCUAUCGAAUCAGCAUCGGCUAACUCCGUGCCAGCAGCCGCGGUAAUACGGAGGAUGCAAGCGUUAUCCGGAAUUAUUGGGCGUAAAGCGUCCGUAGGUGGUUGUUCAAGUCUGCUGUUAAAGCGUGCGGCUUAACCGCAUAC
rnacentral:rRNA from 1 species